rnacentral:rRNA from 1 species
GACGAACGCUGGCGGCGUGCUUAACACAUGCAAGUCGAACGGAAAGGCCCUGCUUUUGUGGGGUGCUCGAGUGGCGAACGGGUGAGUAACACGUGAGUAACCUGCCCUUGACUUUGGGAUAACUUCAGGAAACUGGGGCUAAUACCGGAUAGGAGCUCCUGCUGCAUGGGGGGGGUUGGAAAGUUUCGGCGGUUGGGGAUGGACUCUGGGGUAAUCAGCUUGUUGGUGGGGGAGUGGCUUACGAAGGCUUCGACUGGUAGCCGGCCCGGGUGGUGGGACGGGCACAUUGGGCCUGAGGGACGGCGCAGACUGCUACGGGAGGCAGCAGUGGGGAAUCUUGCACAGCGGGCGGGAGCCUGAUGAGGCAAUCCUCGGUGUGGGAUGACGGCCUUCUGGUUGUAAACCGCUUUAGGCUGUGACGAUGCGUUAGUGACGGUACCGGGUAAAUAAGCACCGGCUAACUACGUG